rnacentral:rRNA from 1 species
GACGAACGCUGGCGGCGUGCUUAACACAUGCAAGUCGAACGGAAAGGCCCUGCUUUUGUGGGGUGCUCGAGUGGCGAACGGGUGAGUAACACGUGAGUAACCUGCCCUUGACUUUGGGAUAACUUCAGGAAACUGGGGCUAAUACCGGAUAGGAGCUCCUGCUGCAUGGUGGGGGUUGGAAAGUUUCGGCGGUUGGGGCUGGACUCGCGGCUUAUCAGCUUGUUGGUGGGGUAGUGGCUUACCAAGGCUUUGACGGGUAGCCGGCCUGAGAGGGUGACCGGCCACAUUGGGACUGAGAUACGGCCCAGACUGCUACGGGAGGCAGCAGUGGGGAAUAUUGCACAAUGGGCGGAAGCCUGAUGCAGCAACGCCGCGUGCGGGAUGACGGCCUUCGGGUGGUAAACCGCUUUCGCCUGUGACGAAGCGUGAGUGACGGUAAUGGGUAAAGAAGCACCGGCUAACUACGUG